AAAUCAGGAAGUGCUCGUAUAUAAUUCUUAACGUCGUCGGUGUAACAGCGGGUUGUUAAGAUUCGACCACAAAUUUUCUUGCCGGUCUCCGUGUAUUUGGUGGGGUGUCUACCUGCGGCGAUAGCGAUGGGCUCCGUGCACGCGCGAUGCGGAGCUCUCCAGUCCGCGAACAGCGCUCCAACGCGAAGGACGUGGGAAAGAUCGAUUCGUCGCCGUUGCUCGAUCCAUCGAGGAUUUCGUAUUCCACUGCCCCUGGCAUCUAUCGCGAUCGAUAACGUAAAAACUCGUCCAGUGAUCAUCACGCUCAUAUAUACCGCCUAAAUCCUUCAAAUUCUUUUUAAGAUCGUCCAAAGUUGCUCGAGGAAUUGAAUUUUACCAUUAACUCGAAAGAUAUCUUCGUACUUUAAAAUGUUUAUACGAAUCGAAGUAUAACACGAUUCCGGGACACGUCGAGUCAAAACAUUUUACGAUCGGUUAAGUGAAGUGACGUGCCGGAACCUGCUGGUCGAGGAAGCAGUGUGUAGCUGUCUCGGAUAGACGAUUUCAGUGUCGAGGCGGUUACAGAGGCUGUAUAAUCGAACGUUGGAUCGAUCUCGCGAUAAAAUUCCUGAAACGGUGUCGUGUGCGAAGCAGGCACGAGCGAAAGAAGCAUGGGGAGGAGGGUCGUCGAACCCAGGAACACUUGCGCGAAAUUAGUAACGGCGUCGAUCGUGCCGUGACCUUGACCGGCGUUGACCAGCCUAACGAAAAUCGAGAGUGGUCCCGUCAGGUACGAAUUGUACGAAGGGAGAAGCUUGGACAUUGGAGAACCACGAAAAGAGAGAGACGGCGACGAGGUGGACAGUGCGAAGGAAGUGAGAUGCGCCAUUUUCGAGAACCGAUGCGAGAAGGUGAACGAUCCUUGGAGCGUUUCGCCGCAGACCGGUAAUGGGAUACCAGAGGUGACGGCAAGAUGAACGGUCACGGUUCCACCAAUGAGCAAACACAACCAACACAAACAAAGAACGAUCAAGGAUAAUCAAGCAACGUUAUCUGUCGAGAAAUGGAGAUAAAAGUCUUGCAUCUACGCCCUUCUGUCGGAACGAACAUUCCGCGGUGGUCGUGAAAUGACGGCGAAGGAAUCGCUCUAUUACCAAGCCGCUUAUACGCCGAUCUAUCGUGUCCGUGAGCGGCAGUUAGUCACCGGCUAAUAUCACGUUGUCCGUAGUUGGAACUAACGUGUACUAGUCUUGGAAGGAAGAAAGGGAUCCUAACAAACGGCGCGUUAGGAAAACCGCCGCUGGAUCAGUUCCUUAUUAUAAACGUGGCUCCCUUGAAGCGCCAUACGACGCUAAUUACAAACUUUCAUUACGAGUCACGCUCGACUCGACGAAUGGCGGGACGAUCGCGUUAUAGCCGGCAUCCGCGGCCAGAAACAGGAACGAGCAGUCUUUGGUAUAACGUAGAAAGGAAGCCGGAUAAUGAUUGCGACUAUUAAUCAGGCUGGUCGCGAGUUUUACGCGGUGUACACGCAUCGAUUAGACUGCUCGCCUGCGUGCCAGUGAUCCGCGUGGGCGAUCUACCGACUCGACGAUCUACGACCAGUUUCCAGACUUUCGUGUUACUUCGUCGGAGUCAACAUCGGAGAAAUAAAGACGAAAAAUGGAUAGCUGGUGGCUCUGUGCGUUGGUUCGCGAAGAACGAUUUAACGGAGGAUAGGCUCUUAUCCAGCGUGACGAGCGCGAAACGUCGUUUGACGUUAAUUGCCGGUACUCAAGAGGGUGAAUGAUUACGAACGGACGAGAUGAAGAUAGCAAGAAGGUUGGGAUUUGGAUCGGGAGAUUAUAUACGAUUAUUAAUCAACCUCCAUGAAUAAAGAGAGAGGCAGCCACCAUAUCGAUCGGAAAUUCCUACCCCCGUGGCUUGUAAUUUCUGCGUAUGAUCAAUGGGGAAUCGGUCGUUACCGAUGUAUGCAUGGAUAUCUGUGCUUCAUUAGCCUGUCCGUGGUUAAUGCGCUGAUACCAAAGGGGCACGCAUGGAAUCGUGACGUUCGCCGAUGAGAAAUCGUAUCGAUCCGUGCCUCACCAAGAUUAGCUUCAGUCCAACCGAAUUUUAUGGUCUUAUCGACGUGGAAGAUCAUUUCUAACGUAGUAUGCUACGGGUAUAAUGUGAUCGUAAAAUUUCAUUAGAAGCUAAAGUUUACGAGAGUCGGAACAUGUACCUUGAGAUAAUUUUUUUGAAUUCGAGGACUUCGAGUAUCAUUUGAUAAGGUGCAUUCUAAUCUUUGACAGCUGCCGAUGAUUCAGUUUUAUUAAUGCGAUGAUCGUUAUUAAGCGAGAGGCAAUAUAAUACCUUAUGCUUUUGAUAAAAGACUGUAAGCAACACGCCAAUUCAGCAAUUAAUUUUGCAGUUCAGGAUUGAAACUGCUUCUACAAAAUGUAUAGUAUGGUAUUCGACGCAAUUAUAUCGUUGGGUAUAUCAAUAAAUGAUUUAACUUUCUAAGAGACGAAUUUACAGUAAUUAUAUAGUAAUUUUCGAAGAGAAACAGUAUCAUUAUUGAGAAUGAGAUAAACUAUUAAUGAAUUUCCUACACCCAAGAACAUUGUCUCAAAUGUAAUUGGAGCUAAUUAAACGCUUAUCUCUCUAUUAUCUCUCAGGA
rnacentral:lncRNA from 1 species